rnacentral:lncRNA from 1 species
UGAAGAUUUUUGUGAAUCUACAGUGAUCUAAAGGAAUUGAUAAGCAGGGUUUCACUGUGCUAUGAUUCAUCUGAAGCUGGUUGUGAUAGCUGCCGGGAGUUUUUGCUGAAGCUGCACGUGCUGCCUGCCUUCUCAGGAACUGGGAUAGCAUCUGUGCUCAAGCUCUUUGCAGAGGCUGCCUGGGGAGAAAGGUUGAAGUUGAGAACCAGUGCACCCUUCCGUCCUCUGAGAAGGGCUGCUGCGUCUUUGAAGAGAGAUUUCCUGUGACCUUCUUCAAAUGCCUGUGAUAUUUCCAAUAGGAGCCAUCUUUCUGUAAGUGAAGCUAUUUUCUAUGAAUAUCAAAUCCAUAGUAUGAAUUAAUUGAAUGCAUUAAUAGGAAUGUGUGUAUGCAGAGAAGUCUAAAUGGUUUAAAAAUUGG